ensembl:lncRNA
AUGCAUUGUUGCUCCUGUACCAAAGUGUUAUUGAAUAGAGUAAUGUGGCACUUGAAAACAUGGUAGUUUGCAGUUACUCAGUACUACGCAUACGUACAUGUUCACCCAGUUGUGUAAAUAAUGCCAGAAGUUUUAUUACGUGCAAAGAACUGUUACUGAGACCUCAGCUCUUGAGAAUCAACUGCCAUUCUAACAUCUUCCUACAACACUGAAAUCCCAGUUUUCUGAAGUGAAAUAUGCUAAGCAUUUCUCCAAGUGGUGGUUGCAUGAGGCAAGACAGGAGGAUGAACAAACUGAAGUACAAAAGAACAAAGCAGUGCACCCACAAACACCACCAGGCACCUGGCGAAACUAGAAAUAGAUUAAAUAUUUCUGGAGUACUAGUGCAGCACUCUGCUCAUUAGCAAGGCAGUCUACUUUCCCAUGAGGCAUCUCAAAAUUGCCCUAUGACUACUGUUUGGUUUUAACUCCUCCCUUGGAUAGGUCACAAGGACAAGUGACUUGGGUUGUGCCAAGACCUGAAAUGGGAGACUGGUGUAAAUGGCAGAUAGCCAGCAGCAAGGAGACAUCUGGGAUAAGACAAGGCGCUAAGGUGUGUUGUACAUCGUUAUGAAACUAUUCUACCUUUGUUUUUGCUGUAACGUUAUAUUUUUAAGAACUAUGCCUGCCUGAGGAGACAGUAGUUGUUUUGUUCUCUGAAUUGCUAUAGCCUCGGGGUGUCGAAGUCAUUUAGUACAGAGGGUUGAAUUCCAUGUUAAAUUAUGGUUCAUGGGUCACUGUAUAAAUAUACGAAUUGCAUACUUUCUAGCACAACCGUAUCCCAGUGAUGUCAGUGGAAGUUCACAGAGAGAUCAGCAUCACUCAGCUGAACAAUUUGCUCCCUUUUAAGAUCACAGCUGUCUCAUCUCUGCUUUUUCUUCUUUCUGCCAAUUCCUGUUCCUUGAGAGAGACAUUUCUGCCUCUUCUCCAUUGCUUGCUGAAAACUAGUUAGUAAUGCCACAGAAAUGUGUUCGGGGAUCAGUCUGUGAGCAGUUUGGAUGGCUAUAAGAUGUGGUGGAACAGCAAGAUGGGAGAAACCAAACAAGUAGAUUGAUUAUGAUUAUGAUUAUGAUUAACUGAGCUCUAAAAUAUUUGAGUGAAGAAGUAAGAGGUAGAAAUGCUACAAGGAGUACAUUUUUCAGAACAUUCUAUGGCUGGACUGUCUUUUGAAAACCCUCACUGAAGUCAAUAGGAACUGAACGCACAUAUCAGAAGUCAAACUUCGUGUCUUUAUGAUUUUUAGAGCAUUUAAAAAAGCCUCUGGAGGAACACUCUUAUGAAAUAAAUUCUGAGGAUGCAAUUCUAAUCUUUCUGGAUUUGGGGACUGAUGCUGAAGAACUAAUAAUUACAAUUGGUGAAGGAAAAGCUCAUUUUCUCUGCAAGAGACCACAGGAAACUUUAGACACUACCAGAUAGUGCGAAGUGCAAACUUACUACACAGAAUAAGACUUGAACAUUUCUUAAAACACAUUGAUGAAAAGUCUAAAUUUACUAUGCCCCAAUAUUGGCAUAGGUCUCCCUUCCCAUGAGAGGAAACUCUAAAAUCUUAAGUGUGUUGCUAUUCAUCUAUUUACCUUACAGCAAAAAGAUGACACUGCUAAGAUUUGCGUAUCUUACAUAAUUCCUGGAAUUUCUUGUUGGAAUUGAAACUGCAAAGACAAGGAAAAGAAUCUGGUUAAUAUUUAUUUUCUACAACUUGACAAAAGCAUGGGCAGGAACAGAAGAAUAAUAAAUGUCUAUAGAAAACAGUGCAGCUUGGUGCAGAGAACCUGGAAACAUAUGUACCCAGUUAGAUGAAUUUGCUUUGUGCUGCACCUGAGCUAAUGACCCCUACUGAGAGGUUCAUAGUAUAGAUUAAGUGUUGCAACACAAUCAAGGCACUAUAGAUCAAUGUAUAGAUCUAUAGAUCUAUAGUCUACCUUCAGUCCUCAUAAAGAUACUGAAAUACAUCUAUAACAAUCUGUUUGAAAGUGUUUAGGGUAAAAUCUUACCUUCUUUGGCCAGCUAAACAUUAUAAUUACAUUCUGAGUGUGAAACUCCAUGCUGAAGGAUAUUGUAGACAAUCGUUUCAGGAUUUUUAAAGAAAGUAGGCAACAGAAAUGAAUAGAUGGGUCAUUAAAGGCCAUUAAAACACUAGAUUGGGUGCAGGAAGUUUCUGGGUUGAAAAUUGCUCAAUUAUGGGAAAGUGAUCCUAGGGUAGUAUCUGUACUAGCUGGCAUGUUUUAAUGUACAUUCUACUUUAUAAGAAGCAUCGUACAUGGCUAUAUGAAUCUAUUUGUUUGACUAAAAGCAUUUGUGGUGAGACACAGUCAUCUUUUUCCACUAGAAUCAAUGGACAUUGGAAACACUUCCAUGUGAUGUUCUAGAUGCUAUCAUCAGAAAUAUACAUGAAGCUGAUUGAAAUAUUUUAUUUUUUAAGAAUCAAAAGGCUGUAAAGGUAGGCAAUAAGAACGUUCCUGUAUAUAGUGGAUAACAUAACAGAAUAGGAACUCAGUAGAAAGUUCUUCACUAAGUUUGUUUAGGUGCACCUUAGAUGAAUAUCUACAAGGAGUGAUUGCAGUAUGUAGAUGAUUACAUUCCUGCCUUUUUCUACGCAGCUGGAAAAAUUACACUGACGCUGUUAUUGGACAGUGUAUUUUAUAAGCCACUGUUCUGUGUUGUGCUCCAUCAAAUCUGUGCUCAGGAAAUUAUUUUUGACAGUAACAGGACUGUUCAAUCCCAGAGACAUAACUGUGAGAUGUGGGAUGUGCAGUUUUUAUUUAUAUUUAGUAUACCACAUUAAACACAAUGAACAAAAGAUCAUGGAAAACUGUCAAAACAAUAAAUCAUACUUGUUCCUGUUAAAACAAUUGCAUUGCUUUUUUAAAAUAGAUUAAUAAUCAAUUAAAAUAAGAAACGUAUUCUAUUUCUCAACUGGUAUGAUAUAUAGUCACUUAAAUUGAUUAUGCAGCUGUCAAACAAGUAAGAACAGGAUGUUGCAAUGCAGUGAUUAGGAGUAAGAUUCUGUUCCAGAUUCAGACAUGUAAAUUUAGGGAAUGAUAAAUUUGUCUAAGGGAGGCCUAGUCAACUCAGUCAGUGUUGUCUAGAGUGUUAUUCACAUAAGUAAAGUCAUUUGCUUUGGGAUGAUUUAAAUGUGCACUGAGCCUUCUGACUGUAGAUGAUCAGAGUAUUCAGUUGCAUGGGUACAUGUACCUACUGCCAUACCUGGACUUCAUCUGACACCGCUGAUGGUCAUGCCAGACUCAUGCAAAUAUCACAAAUAUCCUCACAUAACUCAAAUGGCGCAAAACACUCAUGCGUGAAGAACUAGGUAGAACUCCCAAUGUCUGUCAUAAGAACUUAGAUCUUUCAUUUGUAAACAUCUACAUUUAGUAUAGAAACUUGCCCUAUAUUAUUUCAAAAUUAAUAGACUUAAAAAACAGUAAUCUUUUCAGUUUUGCUUUCAAAAACAAAAUCACCAUCUUAACAUGGUUAUCAAGUUAUAUAUCAAUUAGAUAAAAGAUCAAAAACAAUAAUGCUUACAUAUCCACAUACUGUUCAGAUUGAGUAAAAUGGUUUCAGUGCAACAUUCUAUGUAUCUGAAUGUGGCAAAAAACAAACAAACAAACAAACAAACCUAACCUAACCAAAAAAAACACUGUAAAAGGAAGUACAGUGCCAUAUUCAAUUUAAUUAACCUUACAAGUCUCCGUCUUACAAGAUGUUUCCACCUGGGAUAGCUAUAUACACUUACAGUGAGGUUGUGGAAGGUGUCCCUGCUCACACCAGAAGGGUUGGAACUAGAUGAUCUUUAAAAGUUGCUUCCAACUCAAACCAUUCUAUGAUUCUAUUCAAUUCAGUUUGUCUGAAAGCAGAUACAUAAGAAGUAUAGUAUGACAUGUAUACUACAUGUGCAUCUACACUAGCUAUUAAUUGCACUGGAGGGGUGUGGUUUUUUUUAGUGUAAAUUUGCCUUGAACCUUCAUUUAAACUCUUCUGAUACACAGAGAUGUAUUUGAAGCAGUUUUGCUCUUGGUGGAGUCAAGGAUGUUGUGCCAUGAGACAUCAUCUGCAGAACCUCAGUUGCAAAGAGGAUGCAGGAUCACUGAGUGAUUACUUUUCUGUGAGGGAUAGUAAUGUCCUGUGAAUCAGCAGCUGACACCAACUUUAUUGCCAGUAAAGAAGCAAUGUGGAAAUAUAGCUCUAGAAUCCUAACAGAUCACAACAAAUCCAUCCCCAUCCUUCACUGCCAGUUCUGUAACAGAUGUAAUGUAACCCUACAAUUAUUCACAUAUAUACACCAAAGAUCAAAGUAGUCCAAAGGUGGUCGGUAUAGAAAGAGAUGCAUAAACUGUAGACCUCUGAAGUGAGGUGACUUUAAUCUGUCCAGGGUUUCACUGUGUCAUAAUCUAUUUAAAAAAUACUUUUAAUGAAAGCAAGGCAAGACAAAGAAGAUGAGAGGAGAGGAGACUAAUUCACAAUUUACAAUUUACAUAUACACAAUACAGAUACACAAUUUAUGUAUACACUUAUUUUAUCAAGUAUUUCAAGAAGGUUUAACUUCUGCAUGGUGUGAAAAUUCUGAAGGUGUAAAUCUGCAUCUAAAAUUUAGACUUAUAUUUUAACCAAGGUGAGGGAAGUAAAAAUGUAAUCUAUAUCGUUUAAAUUCUUGUCAGUUUAGCCCAUGAUCUAAUAAUUCUGAGGACUAUGUAUUUACUCAUCAAAAUAUCAUUGCUAAAGGGGAAGAGUAGGCUUAGAGCCAGUCUUACAGACAGGAAGGCACUGGGCAAUCAAAUCAAAGUCCAUUCUGGACCGCAUCUUUCCCUUUACAAUACAUUGAUUCUGACCAAAGCAAAGUUAGGUCUUGAGAAACCAUAAUUUUCUCUCCAGCAAUACCAUAUUAACUUUAUCUCACACCACAUUAUCACCUUUUUGCCCAGGGAAGAUAGUGUUUACAAGUGUAGUCUUUAUAUCUCUAGGACUGUGUUGCUAUAUUGUCUAAUAUUUACUUCUAUACUUCAACAGUAUCACCCUGCUAAGUAGCUAGGCUGGAUUCAGUCAACUACUGGCCAACAGCUUGGACUGAAAGGAUUUAAUUUUCUCCAUUCAGCAUAGUAGUAUCAAAGAAGUAUUUUACUUUUCCUUGAAUAUUGAUACACUGGAAUUCAUAUCUGAUCUGGAUGUUCAAGGCUGGUCUCCUGGGCAUUAAUGCUUACAGUCACCUAAACAACCAGUUACCCAUGCAGAACCAUUCAUGAACUAUAUCUACACAGCUGUAUUAACAGUUCUGGGAUUUCUGAGAGACUGGCUAUAGUGCCUUGUUGACUUAACUGAAAAGCUGACUUGAAUUUUAGUGGAAUAUCUUCCCUGUGAUCACUGUAGACACUUACUUUAUCAUCAUGUUUAGUAGAAGAAUUUUCAUCUAUGCCCCUGAUCAACUGUCUAUUCACACUGGAACAUAAUCAUAGACCUAGCAGCACCCAGUGAGUUGUUUUUCUACACAGUUCUACAAAGGUUUUCCAGCAGAACAAUGAUAGAGAUGAUAGAUACAAUGGACAACCAUCAGAACCUUUGUUAGUUUAUAGCAAAGUGCAGCUGAGUAACACACAAUCUUUGUGAUUCAUCUGAUUUCAGGGAAAUCUAGCACAGCUCAGAUUUGGCAUAAAUUACCAUGCCUUUGGAAGGUCCUAGAAACAUAUAAAUGAGGCUUCAGUUUCUGACGGUGUGAAUAGAAAAGCUAUUUAAGGAAAACGCAUGGACAUGACCAUGGUCUGCAGUCUAUUCCCUUCAUGCUCCUCCCAUAUCCACCACUGCUGUUCUCAGAUAUUAGGGAGUACACCUCUCCUAAUAAAUUUCACUCCCGUUAAGGAUCUAUUCUCUAUCAAGGAAAUAUUUCACAUAUAUACACAAAGCAUAUGUCUGUUUUUGACACCAAAUUUACAAAAACAAAGGAGGUUAAGCCAGUUCAGAAGCAGGUUGUAGCUGGCUUCUUGAAGCUUGUUACCGCUGUAUUGAUGGGACAGUGCCAGUUUCCAAAGGCUGCUUGUCCUUGGAUAUUGCUUUAUACAUCUUCUCAACUUAUCCCUGAUUAUGAGCACGUCUCAGCUUGGCUGCCACUUCUUGAAGCACACCGAAGAGGUUUCUAAAUAAAGUUAUUAGCAUUUCUACCCUUACCAGAUCCCCUUUCUAGUUGUUAGCUUGCAGGGAAAUACCAAAUAGUAGUCUAUUAUAGUCUUUACAAAUGUAUGAUCCUUAAAAUAACUAUCAUUAGAGUCCCUAUAAAUUGAAGGUAGUUGAAUCCAGCAUUUAACCAUGAUCAAGACUGCAUCUGAAAGUAGCAACAGUUCUGUUACAAUCACACUAAAUGUAACAAUAAUAAUAAAAAAUGUAAUUAAACCAAAAAUAUAGUCCUAUGGUAAGAGCAAGAUCACCAAGAGAAUGUUUAUACAUCAUGUUUUCUAGGAUGUGCAGUGAGGUGUGCUCCUGCUAUUUCCUUGUCUCUGCUGUCAAGAUUGUAGAGCUGCUGCUGUCCUUGUCCCUUUCUGCUUCUAGGCCAAAAAUUAAAUCAGUGCUGCACAGGCAAUAAAGUGCUGAGUACCAGGGAACUAGUCAGGAGAAGAUGAAUUUUUUUGAUUUGCAGAAAGCAAGGCCUGUUAUUUUUAAGGCACAGAUGUGAAAUGUAAGAUGGUUAGGAAAGUAUUCAGAGGUGUUAACCAGAACUUGAUUGUUAUCUUCUCUAAGUACUUGUUUACUUGUGUUUUUUAAACAAACAGUUUUGACUUAUCAGAUGGUAAGAUCACAGUGUUAAAAGUGUGAUGGUAGCUUUUAAUAUGUAUUGAUAGAGAUGGUAAACAUUUUCUUGGUAGCACAAAUGACCAAACCACAUGCACUGAAUUUCCAGUAGUUUUGACCAUAACAACUUGUUACUUUACAAUAACGGUCACCGGGAAGCCAGCAGCUGGCAGAAACCACACACUCACUUUUUUAAAACUUACUAAUGGAGAAACAAAGACAACAGCCUUCUCCACCUAAGAUAAGCUAAUUUAAUUGAGCUAGUAGAACAAAAUCAUCUAUUUUGUUUUGGCCUAUUAAGAUAGAUGUGAUCUUGUGAGACAUCAUAAAUAUGAAG